rnacentral:misc_RNA from 1 species
AGUUCUCAACCUUCUUCAUUUCUUGGGGAAAGGCUUGGACUUUGGAGGCUUUUGCCGGACUCUCUUGAUCGAGAUCGGCUCCUCUUAAAUGCAUUAGUAGGAUCCCCUUUUGCUGGUCCUUGACGUGAUAAGGCUUUUUCUACGUCUGGAACUUAGCUACGAGGCCUGCUUCUAAUCGUCUCUCUCGAGACAAAAGCCGGUCAGAAAGAACCCCCCCCACAGGGGCCCCUCUGACCUGUGAAACCCCU